rnacentral:lncRNA from 1 species
CCAUGGAGUGCCAUGGACUGGGCACAAAUCUUUGCCUCCUUUCCAUGAGCCAUUGGGAGCCAAAACAAACCCAGGGAUGGGGUGAGAAGGUAAAAUUCAAGCAGAGCCUCUUACCGUGGAGAGGGACAAACUGAGCCCUGGGGCGUUGCAGCAUUUCUCUUCUUUUCCACUCGAAAUUUCGCUCGGGCUCUUCGUUUUCGUUUGCAUUUCUUGUACCUUGCCAUUACUGGGGAAAAAGACACAUUGCAAAUGGAUGUAGAGAGAUAAAUCAAAUUAUGCAUUGGGACAGAGCUGCCACCAAAGACAAUAGCACAGGCAGCACCUCAGAAAUGCAGCCAGAGGUUACUCACAGCUGCCUUGGUGGAAUUAUCAUGGACCAGUGAUAGAAAAUAUAUCCUUAAUUUCAUAUGAUCCAUAGGGAUGUGUCUGCACACAGAAAGCAUCACUUUAUAUGGGCUUAUUCCUGCCCUUUUCUAUUUGUAAAAUAGAUAGCACUAACAGUUAUUAUAAAUAUAAUAAAAAUAUGAAUAGUUAAAUAAGUACACAUGAAAAACAUUAUAAAUAAUACUAUAAAUAAGUGUAAAUAUACAAGAAAGUGAUUAGAAAUAUUAUCAACUAAAUAGAAACGCUGCAACUAUUAAUAUGUAAGCACAAUAAAAAUAAACGGAUGUUCAGUUUUUCGUUACGCUGGCGUGCCAAGCACGGAAUUUGGGGAAAACGACGCUUGGGGAGAACGGUGACAAAAGCCACGGAGAAGCCACGGAAGGAUGCGGGGGCGGCGCGGGCCGGUCCCUGACCGGUGAUCGGUGACACCCCAGCCCCGCUCACCCGGGACCCCGCACCGAGAGCGGGAUGUCUCUGUCACUCACUCACACACACACCUGCACACACACACCUGCACACACACACCUGCACACACACACCUGCACACACCUGUGGGGGUGUCCCGGGGGUGUCCCGGGGCCGCCCCGUCCCCCGGGCCGCGCUCCGCGCCCGCCGCCGCCGCCGAUUCAAACCGCUCCCCGCGCCGCGCCCAGCCAAUGGCAGCGCCGCUCUCUGCCGGCCCCCCCACGCGCCGCAUGUAAGCCGCGCUCUGAUUGGCUGCCGCGCCGAGGCGCGCCCGCGCUCCACGGGAGAGGGGCCGGCAGUGCCCCGCCCCGGCCCGGCCGCGCUGAGGCGAGCGGCGCCGCCAUUGGACGAGCGCGCUCGGUGCCGCCAAUCGGCUGCGGGCAGCGCUCGGCUGGGGAAGGCCGGCGGGGUGAACCGGGCGAGGAGCGGCCCCACCGGGGCUACCGGAGCGACCGGGAGAGAACCGGGGAGGCGGAGCGGCGGCGCCGCCCCCUCAGGGCCGCAGCGGACCGGCCCGCACCGCUUCCCGCCAGCGCCGCGCGCCCCGCCCCGGCCAAUCACGGCCGGAGCCCACUCCGGGCCAAUGGGCUCGGCCGUACCUCGGAGCGGGUUUACAUUCUCCGCUGGCCAAUGGCGAGCGCGCCCCGCGAGGCGCCAGCCAAUGGGAUGCGCACGGCGAGUGACAGCUGGCCAAUGGGAGCCGCCGACUCUCCCGUGCCGCGGCGCGGGGGGUGGGGAUCUCCCCGCCGCCGCCUGAGGAAUGUCAACUAUUCAACAUGGAGACGGCGGUUACCAGGCUCGAGACCCUGCUGUUAUGGAAAAUGUGCUGGAGGUGUGUGGAGCAUCAUCCAUCCCCCUCAGAAAUGGGAUUUUAUUGCAGAUCUAACCCUGCUCCUUCAGGCUGCAUCUCCAAACUCCCAAAGGCAUCCGUGGCCAUUCCUCAAGGCUUGUGAAAAAUUUAAAUUUUUAAAAGUUUAAUAGUAAUUGAAUGGUUAGAAAAAUAGUAAUGCCAUUAGAGUAAUUAUAAUUUGGACAAUUUGAAUGAGGACAAUAUGAGGCAAUAAAUACAAAGAGUUUUGGAUGUCUGGGUACCUU